rnacentral:rRNA from 2 species
UUAAGCGACUAAGCGUACACGGUGGAUGCCCUGGCAGUCAGAGGCGAUGAAGGACGUGCUAAUCUGCGAUAAGCGUCGGUGAGGUGAUAUGAACCGUUAUAACCGGCGAUUUCCGAAUGGGGAAACCCAGUGUGUUUCGACACACUAUCAUUAACUGAAUCCAUAGGUUAAUGAGGCGAACCGGGGGAACUGAAACAUCUAAGUACCCCGAGGAAAAGAAAUCAACCGAGAUUCCCCCAGUAGCGGCGAGCGAACGGGGAGGAGCCCAGAGCCUGAAUCAGUGUGUGUGUUAGUGGAAGCGUCUGGAAAGGCGCGCGAUACAGGGUGACAGCCCCGUACACAAAAAUGCACAUACUGUGAGCUCGAUGAGUAGGGCGGGACACGUGGUAUCCUGUCUGAAUAUGGGGGGACCAUCCUCCAAGGCUAAAUACUCCUGACUGACCGAUAGUGAACCAGUACCGUGAGGGAAAGGCGAAAAGAACCCCGGCGAGGGGAGUGAAAAAGAACCUGAAACCGUGUACGUACAAGCAGUGGGAGCCUCUUAAUGGGGUGACUGCGUACCUUUUGUAUAAUGGGUCAGCGACUUAUAUUCUGUAGCAAGGUUAACCGAAUAGGGGAGCCGAAGGGAAACCGAGUCUUAACUGGGCGUUAAGUUGCAGGGUAUAGACCCGAAACCCGGUGAUCUAGCCAUGGGCAGGUUGAAGGUUGGGUAACACUAACUGGAGGACCGAACCGACUAAUGUUGAAAAAUUAGCGGAUGACUUGUGGCUGGGGGUGAAAGGCCAAUCAAACCGGGAGAUAGCUGGUUCUCCCCGAAAGCUAUUUAGGUAGCGCCUCGUGAAUUCAUCUCCGGGGGUAGAGCACUGUUUCGGCAAGGGGGUCAUCCCGACUUACCAACCCGAUGCAAACUGCGAAUACCGGAGAAUGUUAUCACGGGAGACACACGGCGGGUGCUAACGUCCGUCGUGAAGAGGGAAACAACCCAGACCGCCAGCUAAGGUCCCAAAGUCAUGGUUAAGUGGGAAACGAUGUGGGAAGGCCCAGACAGCCAGGAUGUUGGCUUAGAAGCAGCCAUCAUUUAAAGAAAGCGUAAUAGCUCACUGGUCGAGUCGGCCUGCGCGGAAGAUGUAACGGGGCUAAACCAUGCACCGAAGCUGCGGCAGCGACACUAUGUGUUGUUGGGUAGGGGAGCGUUCUGUAAGCCUGUGAAGGUGGCCUGUGAGGGUUGCUGGAGGUAUCAGAAGUGCGAAUGCUGACAUAAGUAACGAUAAAGCGGGUGAAAAGCCCGCUCGCCGGAAGACCAAGGGUUCCUGUCCAACGUUAAUCGGGGCAGGGUGAGUCGACCCCUAAGGCGAGGCCGAAAGGCGUAGUCGAUGGGAAACAGGUUAAUAUUCCUGUACUUGGUGUUACUGCGAAGGGGGGACGGAGAAGGCUAUGUUGGCCGGGCGACGGUUGUCCCGGUUUAAGCGUGUAGGCUGGUUUUCCAGGCAAAUCCGGAAAAUCAAGGCUGAGGCGUGAUGACGAGGCACUACGGUGCUGAAGCGACAAAUGCCCUGCUUCCAGGAAAAGCCUCUAAGCAUCAGGUAACAUCAAAUCGUACCCCAAACCGACACAGGUGGUCAGGUAGAGAAUACCAAGGCGCUUGAGAGAACUCGGGUGAAGGAACUAGGCAAAAUGGUGCCGUAACUUCGGGAGAAGGCACGCUGAUAUGUAGGUGAAGCGACUUGCUCGUGGAGCUGAAAUCAGUCGAAGAUACCAGCUGGCUGCAACUGUUUAUUAAAAACACAGCACUGUGCAAACACGAAAGUGGACGUAUACGGUGUGACGCCUGCCCGGUGCCGGAAGGUUAAUUGAUGGGGUUAGCGGUAACGCGAAGCUCUUGAUCGAAGCCCCGGUAAACGGCGGCCGUAACUAUAACGGUCCUAAGGUAGCGAAAUUCCUUGUCGGGUAAGUUCCGACCUGCACGAAUGGCGUAAUGAUGGCCAGGCUGUCUCCACCCGAGACUCAGUGAAAUUGAACUCGCUGUGAAGAUGCAGUGUACCCGCGGCAAGACGGAAAGACCCCGUGAACCUUUACUAUAGCUUGACACUGAACAUUGAGCCUUGAUGUGUAGGAUAGGUGGGAGGCUUUGAAGUGUGGACGCCAGUCUGCAUGGAGCCGGCCUUGAAAUACCACCCUUUAAUGUUUGAUGUUCUAACGUGGGCCCCUUACCGGGGUUGCGGACAGUGUCUGGUGGGUAGUUUGACUGGGGCGGUCUCCUCCUAAAGAGUAACGGAGGAGCACGAAGGUUGGCUAAUCCUGGUCGGACAUCAGGAGGUUAGUGCAAUGGCAUAAGCCAGCUUGACUGCGAGCGUGACGGCGCGAGCAGGUGCGAAAGCAGGUCAUAGUGAUCCGGUGGUUCUGAAUGGAAGGGCCAUCGCUCAACGGAUAAAAGGUACUCCGGGGAUAACAGGCUGAUACCGCCCAAGAGUUCAUAUCGACGGCGGUGUUUGGCACCUCGAUGUCGGCUCAUCACAUCCUGGGGCUGAAGUAGGUCCCAAGGGUAUGGCUGUUCGCCAUUUAAAGUGGUACGCGAGCUGGGUUUAGAACGUCGUGAGACAGUUCGGUCCCUAUCUGCCGUGGGCGCUGGAGAACUGAGGGGGGCUGCUCCUAGUACGAGAGGACCGGAGUGGACGCAUCACUGGUGUUCGGGUUGUCAUGCCAAUGGCACUGCCCGGUAGCUAAAUGCGGAAGAGAUAAGUGCUGAAAGCAUCUAAGCACGAAACUUGCCCCGAGAUGAGUUCUCCCUGACCCUUUAAGGGUCCUGAAGGAACGUUGAAGACGACGACGUUGAUAGGCCGGGUGUGUAAGCGCAGCGAUGCGUUGAGCUAACCGGUACUAAUGAACCGUGAGGCUUAACCUU